AUGGCGAGUUCGUCGGAGAAGGCGCCUUCCCCCGCAGCGGCGGAUCUGCCGGAGCGAGGUAAGAUUACGGUGGCCAGCGGCAAACCAAAGGGGAAGACGAGGAGGAUGACGCAGGAGGAGAUCGACAGCUACAUCCGGUCCAAGGGCGUGCGCAUCCCCGUCGACUCCGUCCGCAGGGCGAGCAAGCUGAGGCUGGCCCUCACCAACCUCGACGACCUCGGCAGCCUCCCGGCUCCCGAGAGAGACGAGAUCGCCAAGGAGUACUACGCAAAGGGCUACGUCGAGCGCGAGGUCAGCGACGACGACGAAGCAGGAGGCAGCAACCCCCGUGUGGAGACCGUUAGCACCGUAACCGUAAGGAAGCUCAACUGA
rnacentral:rRNA from 1 species